rnacentral:rRNA from 1 species
AGUCAAUCUACCCUAUGGACGGGAAUAACCUCGGGAAACUGAGAAUAAUGCCCGACAGAACAUUAUACCUGGAACGGUUUAUGUUUCAAAUGAUUUAUCGCCGUAGGAUGGGACUGCGGCCUAUCAGUUUGUUGGUGAGGUAAUGGCCCACCAAGACUAUUACAGGUACGGGCUCUGAGAGGAGUAGCCCGGAGAUGGGUACUGAGACACGGACCCAGGCCCUAUGGGGCGCAGCAGGCGAGAAAACUUUGCAAUGUGCGAAAGCACGACAAGGUUAAUCCGAGUGGUUUCUGCUAAAGAAACCUUUUGCUAGUCCUAGAAACACCAGUGAAUAAGGGGUGGGCAAGUUCUGGUGUCAGCCGCCGCGGUAAAACCAGCACCUCAAGUGGUCAGGAUGAUUAUUGGGCCUAAAGCAUCCGUAGCUCGUUUUGUAAGUUUUCGGUUAAAUCCAUACGCUUAACGUAUGGGCUGCCGGGAAUACUGCAUAACUAGGAAGUGGGAGAGGUAGACGGUACUCGGUAGGAAGGGGUAAAAUCCUUUGAUCUAUUGAUGACCACCUGUGGCGAAGGCGGUCUACCAGAACACGUUCGACGGUGAGGGAUGAAAGCUGGGGGAGCAAACCGGAUUAGAUACCCGGGUAGUCCCAGCUGUAAACUAUGCAAACUCAGUGAUGCAUUGGCUUGUGGCCAAUGCAGUGCUGCAGGGAAGCCGUUAAGUUUGCCGCCUGGGAAGUACGUACGCAAGUAUGAAACUUAAAGGAAUUGGCGGGGGAGCACCACAAGGGGUGAAGCCUGCGGUU